CAGCCAUCAAGCGCGGCUUGUGUGUUGGGCGCCUGCCCCCUGGGGCACACCCGAAAUUUAGGGAUCGUCUAGGUAAAGGACCCCCAGCGCAUGGGCACAUCACCCGCUGAAGGAGUUCUCGCCCCGGCUAUCGACCCCCGCGGCUUCAACCAAUCUUUGGUUAAGCCCCAGCCCAACUUUCUUUUGGGCAUUCUC
rnacentral:misc_RNA from 1 species